rnacentral:siRNA from 1 species
GGCGCUAUCCCUCCUGAGCUGAGAAAGAAGGCAAGGGUGGGUGGGGGAAAGGGGUACCUGCCUACCUACCGGGGCUGGCAAGCGAGCGCCUUGUUAGCGGGGUGUUAAGCACUAGCGUGCGGCACUGCGCCUUAAGACGUCAGCUAUGGCUCCGUAGGGUGUGAUGAGUGCUUUACCCGGCACUCAUCCUGUGCCCGGCCCACCUACCCUUGUGACAUGGGUCGCGCUCUUCCGGGCGCAGCCCAUGUCAAUUGUCUAUCACUCCUGAGCUA